rnacentral:lncRNA from 7 species
AGAAGUAGAGAGAGACUCAGACAGCAGACAGCAUGGUCCCAGCAUGCUUUUUGCCUUUUUUUUUGUUUGCACAGUAGCUGUCAGUUGCAGCCCUGCAGGAUAAUUAAAAGAGAAUCCUGUAAAAGCAACAUUCCUUCAAGCAAGUUGGGGCUGUAACGUGCUGAUGAUUUUCACAAGAUAAUUGGAUGGCUGGUCACCAGGGAGUGCUUAAGUGUUCCCAGACUCUUGUCGGCAGGGCAGAACAGAGCGUGCAACAGAAGUCCCAGGACCACCUCUGCAAGGGCUCCACACCAAACUUCAGACUCAACCCACUUCCAAACUCAGACCUGGUGGCAUCUUCCAGGAUAUGAUCUUCUCAGAUCUCUCCAGACCUAUUCUACAGCCCAAGAGCUGUCCUCUGAAAUACCCAAAGAGGCAUUGAUCCCGGGGAACCACACAGUAUAUGAACACAUUCUAACUGUUGAAGUGGACAAAGAUCAGAAGUCAUGGCAGAGAAGUAGCAACAAAGGUAGAAGACUGAAGUGAGAGGCUGUGCUCAGAAGGACUGAGAGGACUGAACUAAAGUCAGGCUACAGCCACCAGUUCUCAGCGUAACAGUCAAGACACCUCUUCAAAAAUAUGUCUUGUAAAACAAAUGCUGGAUGGUGCAGAGCUGCUACCAGCUCAAAAUAUGACAAGGAACAAAGUCCCAUAUCCACUGAAGUCUUUUUCAGUGCAUGUUUUAUGCCAUAUCUUCACUAUGCUUUCAGUCAUUAGCAAGACUGAUGGUAGUCUGGCUUCUCUUUCAAUGACUGUAGUGGUUGGGGACCACAUGCACAUUCUCAGAAACAUGCCAUGUUUGUAAUGUUUCCCUCAGUGGUGUAAUACCUCUGUGAGCAUAAACAUUCCUUGUUCUUAAUGUUCUCAUAAGUCACCAACAUUUACAGUUUAUGGAAAAAUAAACGUGUUUCAGC